UAUUUUUGUUGCACAAGAAGAACAUCGCCUGUUCUACCAACCUCUUUUGUUCUCAGCCCGCUCUCGGUUACCGCUAAAAUACGGACAACGUGUAUCUAGCUAGUUACCGGGGAAUAACAUAAAGCUAGUAAACGUCAUACAGUGUGUUGUUUUGGGGUACUGCCGACUGCUUUGAAACUAAGUGAAUGAAAGCUUUGCAGAACGUGAGCGACAUGAGUUCCGACGCUAAGCCCGAGCCUAAAAAAGGCAAAAUGGAGAAUGAAAGCAAAUAUCUCCCUGAGCUUCUGGCAGAAAAAGACAGCCUGGAUUCGUCAUUUACUCACGCAAUGAAACUGAUAUCUGCAGAGAUUGAAAGGAUUCAGAAAGGAGAGUCAAAGAAAGAGGCAGAAAGAGAAACAUACUUGGACCUGUGUACCACAAAGAACAUCAAGGUCAAAGAACGUGUGCUAAUUCCCGUCAAGCAGUACCCAAGGUUCAACUUUGUUGGUAAGAUCCUGGGACCCCAGGGGAACACGAUCAAGCGACUCCAGGAGGAAACAGGAGCAAAGAUCUCUGUGUUGGGCAAAGGUUCCAUGAGAGACAAGGCGAAGGAGGAAGAGCUGAGAAAGGGCGGUGAGCCCAAAUAUGCUCAUCUGGGCAUGGAACUGCAUGUCUUCAUAGAGGUGUUUGCCCCCAUACCUGAGGCAUACCUGCGCAUGGCUCAUGCAAUGGACGAGGUCAAGAAGUUCCUCAUCCCUCAGGACACCAUGGAUGGUAUUUGCCAGGAUCAGUUCAUGGAGAUUGGCUACCUAAAUGGAGGUCAGGACUCACAAUCCAGGGGAAGAGGGGGCCCCCCAGGCAGGGGCAGGGGAGCACCCCCACCCAACUCUGCAGGAGCCAGGGGGCGAGGAAUGCCACCUCGUGGAGGAGCCCCUCGUGGUGGAGCUUCCCGAGGAGGGCCACCCAGGGGUGGGUCCACCAGAGGGGCUCCAGCUGGUCGGGGUGGACCCCCCUCCACACCCACUAGAGGAGGCACAGCUCAACGUUCCAGACCCCCCGCACAAGGGACGCAAAGGAUGCUCCCGUCCCCAGCCCACUCCCACCAGCAGCACCAUCAGCAGCACCAACAUGCGCAACCACCCAAGGCUGAGGCAUAUGAUGAAUAUCCUGCCUAUGAAGAAAGCUAUGCUGAGCCUGCAUAUGAAGGUUAUGACAGUUAUUACAGUCAACAACCUCCACAAGCGGAUACAGAGUACUAUGACUAUGGACAUGGAGAGGCUCAGGAGGCCUUUGAACCCUAUGCCCAGGACGAUUGGGAGGGUUCGUGGCCCACCACUGGAGGCAAAGCCCCUCCUGCAAGGCAGGAUAAGCGGGGGUCCUACAGAGAGCAUCCAUACGGAAGAUACUGAACGGCUCUGGUAGAGGGUUGCCCUGGCAACUGUCUCCCAUUGUAAAUCACUUUUAACUCUCUGAAGUAUUCCGAGUAAGUCCCUCUCUGGGUUUGAGAAAGGCAUCGGACUUGAGCUGAAUAAAGUCCUAUGGGUAAGUCGUCCAUUACUCUUCAGCAAUGUCAUGGAAUUUGACUGGCUAAAGCUGCUAUAGUAUUUUAGGUUUUACUAUUACUUAAAUUGAGGAAAACUGAUGAAACGAUGAGUGAACAAAGUCUGCUAUCCACCUGAGUAUUCCUCAUUUUGCGUGUGCUUGUUGAAGUUGGCCAGAAAGCUCCUAGUCCUCUUCACGACUAACUGCAAUGUUUUUGUAAUGGACCCUCAAGCUGAAUUUUGUCAGGGUCUUUACCAGCUGUAGUAGAAGAUCAAACCAGUGUUGUGACAAAGUACUUACUGCUAGACUGGAGGAAGGCGGGUGGAAAUGUUGGUGAUCUCCAAUUUUGUUCUCAGUCAGGUUUUGGGAAGUGCUCUGUUUUUAGUUGCUCAACAGGGUGACUUGUGAGUUUAUCGUUUCAACAGGUAUAAUCCAGUGAAAGGCCUUGAAGACUGCACAGCACUUAUGGAUAAUGGCACUCCCUGGAAUAUGGCUGCUUAAUGUCUGCAAGUCUCCAGAGAAAGAACAUGAGGCUUACAGUGCAUUCAACUUGAGAGGAUGAAGUAAAUGCACUGGUUCCUGACAAAGCAGCUUGGAGUAAGAGGAGCUGAGUUGUAUUCUGGGAAAUGAUGCAGACAAUUACAUUGAUAGAAGGUACAAUCUGCAAUAUCAAAACUUAUCUACCUCCUAAAAUUAUAAUUGCUACAUUUCCUUGACUUUAUUUUUUUAACCUCGUUUUACUUUUUUUUUGUGAUUGUAAAAUUGUAGUUGCCUCAGGAAGGUCUUGAAUCAUUUCUGUGCAGAAUAACUUUCCUUUCUUAAAUAAAUCUCAAUAUUCUGAUUAA